CAUAUCAACUUUUGAUUCCAGUUUUCUUCACAAGCCUCUACUAUUGUGUACAUAGUUUAUACUAAGUGACCCAUAAGUUGAGGAGGCGGUGACCGUGGCAGUGUAGGUGGAAGCAGCGGUGGAGGAGGAGGAUGAGGUAGCCAUCACUGUUUUAUAUAUAUAUAUAUAUAUAUAUAUAUAUAUUUAAAAAAAUAAAUAAAUUUUGAUGGCGACUUUGCAUUCGGAUGUCAUCCAUAUCAAGUUUCGAUGCCAGUUUCUACGCCUACCAUGGUGACCACAGGUAACGGGGAAUUAGGGUUCCAUUCUGUACAGGGCCCCUGAGAAAUGGUUACCACAUGCAAGGAAGGCAG